GAGAAAUUCUGUUUAUUAUUUAAUUUUUUCGGAUUUUCAAAGGCCUUGUAAAAUUUUCUUGUGAGACUUUCGGGUUAAAUAUGGCUGCCUUUCCUGGUUUGGUACUGAGAAUGGUCUUUAUGCUGGUGCUGAGUUCGGAUGCUCAAUGUGUUGAUUGCGAGACACACUGGAGUUCGCAAUGCAAACCAAAUGUUUCUGGUCACUAUUGUAUGCCAGGCACCUUGAUAUCAUCUAAAGGUCAGGCAUACUGGGAUGAACCGAAGACGCUGAGUCAGUAUGUAAAUUGUAUGCCUCCGGGAUACGUUGUGGGAUUUGUUCAUGGUUGGUGCUGCUUCUGGUCAAAGAAAUUUGGGUGCCAGGCUGCCGUCCAUCCGCAUGUUUAUCAGAGCGGAAACACAUUUAAGUUCUGUCAGAGAUGUCAGACUUUGUGUAAAUGCAGCAGCGCGACAAAGUUGCUGCCCAGCAAUUCACACAAUUACCAUACCUUUCGAUAUAUACUUUUUAUACUCUUUCAGAUACUUAAGUAAGGAACCUUAUUCAGAUAGAUGUGAUAUUUAUGAAGUGUGUGUGGUGUAAGGGCUCUACAGCCAAACAGAUUGAAUAGACUGUGAGGAUUAAAGGAUGACACCAUUCAUAUAUGGAAUAUACAUAUAUAGUUUAAAUCUUUUGUAAAUUUCGAGAUCGCUGUGCUGAAAGGAACGGACGAGAAGAUGGACAUGCCUACAUCAACUUGUCUUGACUAAUUGUAUGUUCGAUGCUCAAGUGACCGUCGUUAUAUCCGGAAGACGUAAUAAACGUACAAGCUUGCUUAUAUAUAUAAGUUUGUCUGGGGACCAGUAUUUUAGUCGCAAUGCUAGCACGGACGGUAUGAGUAAAGUUGUUAUAGCCGGACUAAUACAGUCAUAUAUGAUAAAUAUUAUAAGUGUAUAUAAUAAAUAUAGAUAGUAUCUCAGCUA